rnacentral:rRNA from 1 species
CAGCAGCCGCGGGAAUACGUAGGUGGCAAGCGUUGUCCGGAAUUAUUGGGCGUAAAGGGCUCGCAGGCGGUUUCUUAAGUCUGAUGUGAAAGCCCCCGGCUCAACCGGGGAGGGUCAUUGGAAACUGGGAAACUUGAGUGCAGAAGAGGAGAGUGGAAUUCCACGUGUAGCGGUGAAAUGCGUAGAGAUGUGGAGGAACACCAGUGGCGAAGGCGACUCUCUGGUCUGUAACUGACACUGAGGAGCGAAAGCGUGGGGAGCGAACAGGAUUAGAUACCCCCGUAGUCCCUGUCUCUUAUAC